CCUGAAACCGUGUACGUACAAGCAGUGGGAGCACAGAGCAAUCUGUGUGACUGCGUACCUUUUGUAUAAUGGGUCAGCGACUUAUAUUCUGUAGCAAGGUUAACCGAAUAGGGGAGCCGAAGGGAAACCGAGUCUUAACUGGGCGUUAAGUUGCAGGGUAUAGACCCGAAACCCGGUGAUCUAGCCAUGGGCAGGUUGAAGGUUGGGUAACACUAACUGGAGGACCGAACCGACUAAUGUUGAAAAAUUAGCGGAUGACUUGUGGCUGGGGGUGAAAGGCCAAUCAAACCGGGAGAUAGCUGGUUCUCCCCGAAAGCUAUUUAGGUAGCGCCUCGUGAAUUCAUCUCCGGGGGUAGAGCACUGUUUCGGCAAGGGGGUCAUCCCGACUUACCAACCCGAUGCAAACUGCGAAUACCGGAGAAUGUUAUCACGGGAGACACACGGCGGGUGCUAACGUCCGUCGUGAAGAGGGAAACAACCCAGACCGCCAGCUAAGGUCCCAAAGUCAUGGUUAAGUGGGAAACGAUGUGGGAAGGCCCAGACAGCCAGGAUGUUGGCUUAGAAGCAGCCAUCAUUUAAAGAAAGCGUAAUAGCUCACUGGUCGAGUCGGCCUGCGCGGAAGAUGUAACGGGGCUAAACCAUGCACCGAAGCUGCGGCAGCGACGCUGAUGCGUUGUUGGGUAGGGGAGCGUUCUGUAAGCCUGUGAAGGUGUGCUGUGAGGCAUGCUGGAGGUAUCAGAAGUGCGAAUGCUGACAUAAGUAACGAUAAAGCGGGUGAAAAGCCCGCUCGCCGGAAGACCAAGGGUUCCUGUCCAACGUUAAUCGGGGCAGGGUGAGUCGACCCCUAAGGCGAGGCCGAAAGGCGUAGUCGAUGGGAAACAGGUUAAUAUUCCUGUACUUGGUGUUACUGCGAAGGGGGGACGGAGAAGGCUAUGUUGGCCGGGCGACGGUUGUCCCGGUUUAAGCGUGUAGGCUGGUUUUCCAGGCAAAUCCGGAAAAUCAAGGCUGAGGCGUGAUGACGAGGCACUACGGUGCUGAAGCAACAAAUGCCCUGCUUCCAGGAAAAGCCUCUAAGCAUCAGGUAACAUCAAAUCGUACCCCAAACCGACACAGGUGGUCAGGUAGAGAAUACCAAGGCGCUUGAGAGAACUCGGGUGAAGGAACUAGGCAAAAUGGUGCCGUAACUUCGGGAGAAGGCACGCUGAUAUGUAGGUGAAGUCCCUCGCGGAUGGAGCUGAAAUCAGUCGAAGAUACCAGCUGGCUGCAACUGUUUAUUAAAAACACAGCACUGUGCAAACACGAAAGUGGACGUAUACGGUGUGACGCCUGCCCGGUGCCGGAAGGUUAAUUGAUGGGGUUAGCGCAAGCGAAGCUCUUGAUCGAAGCCCCGGUAAACGGCGGCCGUAACUAUAACGGUCCUAAGGUAGCGAAAUUCCUUGUCGGGUAAGUUCCGACCUGCACGAAUGGCGUAAUGAUGGCCAGGCUGUCUCCACCCGAGACUCAGUGAAAUUGAACUCGCUGUGAAGAUGCAGUGUACCCGCGGCAAGACGGAAAGACCCCGUGAACCUUUACUAUAGCUUGACACUGAACAUUGAGCCUUGAUGUGUAGGAUAGGUGGGAGGCUUUGAAGUGUGGACGCCAGUCUGCAUGGAGCCGACCUUGAAAUACCACCCUUUAAUGUUUGAUGUUCUAACGUUGACCCGUAAUCCGGGUUGCGGACAGUGUCUGGUGGGUAGUUUGACUGGGGCGGUCUCCUCCUAAAGAGUAACGGAGGAGCACGAAGGUUGGCUAAUCCUGGUCGGACAUCAGGAGGUUAGUGCAAUGGCAUAAGCCAGCUUGACUGCGAGCGUGACGGCGCGAGCAGGUGCGAAAGCAGGUCAUAGUGAUCCGGUGGUUCUGAAUGGAAGGGCCAUCGCUCAACGGAUAAAAGGUACUCCGGGGAUAACAGGCUGAUACCGCCCAAGAGUUCAUAUCGACGGCGGUGUUUGGCACCUCGAUGUCGGCUCAUCACAUCCUGGGGCUGAAGUAGGUCCCAAGGGUAUGGCUGUUCGCCAUUUAAAGUGGUACGCGAGCUGGGUUUAGAACGUCGUGAGACAGUUCGGUCCCUAUCUGCCGUGGGCGCUGGAGAACUGAGGGGGGCUGCUCCUAGUACGAGAGGACCGGAGUGGACGCAUCACUGGUGUUCGGGUUGUCAUGCCAAUGGCACUGCCCGGUAGCUAAAUGCGGAAGAGAUAAGUGCUGAAAGCAUCUAAGCACGAAACUUGCCCCGAGAUGAGUUCUCCCUGACUCCUUGAGAGUCCUGAAGGAACGUUGAAGACGACGACGUUGAUAGGCCGGGUGUGUAAGCGCAGCGAUGCGUUGAGCUAACCGGUACUAAUGAACCGUGAGGCUUAACCUUACAACGCCGAAGGUGUUU
rnacentral:rRNA from 1 species